CAUAGCAGACUUCGGUGGUUUGCAGCCUCUGGUUUUACCCGAAACCCUUCUGUUUGUCAUUCAAAAUACGUCAGAGAAAAUGGCGGAAUUUGAAAAAUACGCAGGACUGCCCCAAACAAUGCAGGAGAACUGAGAUGAAGAGGAAUCGGGCAAUUCCAUGGAAGAGGAGAUGGACACUUCAGAAGACCUGCAAGAUGACAACCUGAUCGAGUGGGAACGCUUCCACAGUUCUAAUAAUGAGCAGCAAGAUGGACAUUUGGCAGUUAGGAGGAAUGUAAUAUUAGAACGAACUAAAUUCAAUCAAAGACAACAGGAAGCAGGAGAGACAGCUGAUGAUGAUUUUCUCUCUGCACUUCAUUGUUUGUCACAACAUUGCGGUUAUGAGCACUGCUCAGUGAGAUGAUAAGAGACAGACUAGUCAUGGGCUUACGUGACAGAAUACAAAUGGAUCCAGAACUAACACUGGAUAAAGCUGUCACACACAUUCGUCAAAUUAAACUUGUGAAAAAGCAACAGGUCCUGCAAGAGCAUUCCUUCAAAGUUUCCAGCAACACUGCAAAUAUAAACAGUGUCCUGUCACAUAGCAAACAGCAUUGCCCAGCCAAUUCCCAGUGCCUAUCAGAGAAGAAGAAUCAAAACUCAGAAAGACCACAACAACCCCAAACAACGCAGGAGAAUGAAGAGGAGCCUCUAGAUACUGAUGACUUCAUUGAGGAUUUCAGUCCUGGAGGAGAGAAGCCUCAAUACUGCGCCUACUGCGGUCAGAACUUUCAAAAAGUGAGGGAUCUUACAAGACAUACUGGAGAGAAGCCUCAUAACUGCUCUAAUUUCAACAGAAGUUUUGCUCGAUUAGAUAAUCUCAAGUCACACCAAAAAUUACACAUGAAAGACAAACAUAAUUUUCACUCCCCUAAUUUGUGGAAAGCUUUGUCAUAUUGGAGAAGCUUGAAAAACACCAGCUGGAGAAUACCUUCAAAGCUACCAGCAAUGCAACAAAUGUAGACAGUGUGCCUGAACUUGGGGGAAAAAAAAAAUCAGCACCCAGAAAGACAACUGCCCCAAACAACUCAGUAGAACAGAGAGAAGCCUCAUCAUGAUACUUCCGAUGACCCUAUUGUGAGUUCUAAUGGAGGCGAGAGGCGUCAUCCCUGCUCCGACUGUGGGAAGAGCUUUUCACGAGUAUCAUCUUAAGACACCAACAAACACAUACGGGAGAGAAGCCUCAUCGCUGCUCUGAUUGUGGCAAAAGUUAUUCUCAGUCGUAUGAUCUGAAAAUACACCACCAGCGAAAGCAUAUGAAAGGGAAAUACUUCCACUGCAAUCAUUGUGAAGAACAUUUCUCCAAACCAGAGGAUCUGAACACACACAUGCAUGUACAUGCUGGAGAAAAGCCAUACCUUUGCCCAGACUGUGGGAAGAGAUUCCAGUUGUUAAAUGCAUUUGAAAUGCACCAAAAAAAACGUACUUUGGGACUUCUUGCGUGCUCUUAUUGUGGUAAAAGUGGAUAAACGUAAACUACACCAGCGAACACAUACGGGAGAGAAACAUUUUCGCUGCCCAGAUUGUGGGAAAAGUUUUACCCACUUGGAUCUUCUGAAAAGUCACCAUAAGAAAGGGGGUCAUUGUCUGUACUGUGACAAAAGCUUUUCUGAACCUGGAUAACAAAAAUACACAUGGAAGUACAUAGUCAAGAAAGGCCUCACCUUUGCCCCAACUGUGGGAAGAGAUUCAAACUGUUAUGGUCGUUGAAAAAGCACCAGCGAAAAUACACAGAAGAUCUCACCAAGGGAAAAGCGUCACCACUGUUCCGACUGUGAUAAGAGUUUUACUCAUGGAUGUCAUCUUAAAAGACACCAGGAAACACACACAGGAGAAAAGCCUUACCACUGCUCUAAUUGUCACAAAUGCUUUGCAGGAAAGGAGAGGCUUAAACAACAUCAACUAACACACAAGGAAAAUAAACGUUACAGCUGUUCAAGGUGUGAUAAGAUUUCCUGACAUGGCCAAACUAAGAUCACACCUUCCAGUACAUUCCGUAGAACUGGCACUCCACUGUUCUGACUGUGGAAAGUGUUUCUUAAAACAGGCAAAGUUUAAAAGACAUCAAAAAAUGCACACUGGAAGUGGAAAAAUACCAUUCCUCUGCACUGGCUGCGGAGGGUUUUACAAAUUUGCGACAGUUGGGAGAGCACCAGCGAAUACACACUGUAGAGAAACCAUACUACUGCAUUGAUUGCGGGAAGAGUUUUGCUCUUGAAAAAACAUUUAAGUGUCACAAGCAAGUUCAAACUCUGGAGAAAGAGCAGCCUCUCCCUGCUCGGAAUGUGGAGAUACUUUUUCUCGUUCAUGUGAUGACUCAUGUGCGAAGGGUGCAUAAUAGAGAGACCUUUCCAGUGCUCCUGCUGUGGAAAAAGAUUUUUCCAAAAGAACUCUCACAAUACACGAGAACUGGAGAGAAACCAUACCACUGAUCAGAAUGUGGACAAAGCUUCUCCCAAAUGAACAACAGAAAACACCACCAGAAGAGGCAACACUGGAGAGGAGACUUGAUCUCUGUACUACAGUAUGGAAUGCACAGUCAGAGACACUCAAUAAGAAAGGACUACAACAAAAUACAAUAUUGUAAUAUUGUCUUUAUUCCAGGUUUAUUUUGGUAAAAUCAUUGAAAUAUCUUGUUUCAACAGUAAAGUUUAUUUAAAAAAUGA